CUGGAGAACCCAGGGUGCUUUAUUCAGCUAGAAGUUGUGUGAAGAUCUAAAAUGAGGAGGAUGCCAGUAAAACCUUUAAUUGCCCCUGAAAGUCCAACCUCAUAACCACUGGGUCACCUUGCACCGAGAGCUCGUUGUAUUCCACGGGUCCUGUUCACAGGAAAUAUUUACAAAGUACUGAGUAUUUAAAUGUGGAAUAUCUGGAGUUGGAAGGGACUCAUGAAGACUCCGGUCACACACAGGACACUUCCAGUGACAGC